rnacentral:lncRNA from 1 species
GGCCAGUUUAUUUUCUGCUGUUGCCGCUGUCGGUGCCAACUUGCGCCGAAUAGCGUGUGAUAGUGCGACGUGCCAAAAAUCUUAAAAAAAUUCAAAAAACAGCUAAAAAUAAUAGCUAAUAACUAAAAAAGCAAAAAAAAAA